AACGAACGCUGGCGGCAGGCCUAACACAUGCAAGUCGAACGCCCCGCAAGGGGAGUGGCAGACGGGUAAGUAACACGUGGGAACCUUCCCUAUACUACGGAAUAGCCCAGGGAAACUUGGAGUAAUACCGUAUACGCCCGAGAGGGGAAAGAUUUAUCGGUAUAGGAUGGGCCCGCGUAGGAUUAGCUAGUUGGUGAGGUAAUGGCUCACCAAGGCGACGAUCCUUAGCUGGUCUGAGAGGACGACCAGCCACACUGGGACUGAGACACGGCCCAGACUCCUACGGGAGGCAGCAGUGGGGAAUAUUGGACAAUGGGCGCAAGCCUGAUCCAGCCAUGCCGCGUGAGUGAUGAAGGCCUUAGGGUUGUAAAGCUCUUUUGCCGGGGACGAUAAUGACGGUACCCGGAGAAUAAGUCCCGGCUAACUUCGUGCCAGCAGCCGCAGUAACAC
rnacentral:rRNA from 1 species